GGUUCAGGAUGAACGCUAGCGACAGGCCUAACACAUGCAAGUCGAGGGGCAGCACAAGGAGCAAUCUGAGGUGGCGACCGGCGCACGGGUGAGUAACACGUAUGCAACCUGCCUGUAAGCGGGGAAUAACCCGUUGAAAGACGGACUAAUACCGCAUAAUACUAAAUUACUGCAUGGUAAUUUAUUUAAACAUUUAUGGCUUACAGAUGGGCAUGCGCAUGAUUAGCUAGUUGGAGAGGUAACGGCUCCCCAAGGCAACGAUCAUUAGGGUUCUGAGAGGAAGGUCCCCCACACUGGUACUGAGACACGGACCAGACUCCUACGGGAGGCAGCAGUGAGGAAUAUUGGUCAAUGGACGAGAGUCUGAACCAGCCAAGUCGCCGUGAAGGAAGAAGGAUCUAUGGUUCGUAAACUUCUUUUGCAGGGGAAUAAAGUGCAGGACGUGUCCUGUUUUGUAUGUACCCUGAGAAUAAGGAUCGGCUAACUCCGUGCCAGCCGCCGC
rnacentral:rRNA from 1 species